rnacentral:rRNA from 1 species
AGGACGAACGCUGGCGGCGUGCUUAACACAUGCAAGUCGAGGGCACUAUGCGGGCAACCGCGUGGUGACCGGCGAACGGGUGCGUAACACGUGAGCAACCUGCCCAAGUGUGGGGGAUAGCCGGCCCAACGGCCGGGUAAUACCGCAUACGCUUUUCCGGGGGAGUCCCUGGGAAAGGAAACUUCAGGGGCACUUGGAGGGCUCGCGGCCUAUCAGCUAGUUGGCGUGGUAACGGCACACCAAGGCAUCGACGGGU